UACGUAGGGGGCGAGCGUUGUCCGGAAUCAUUGGGCGUAAAGAGCGUGUAGGCGGCCCGGUAAGUCCGCUGUAAAAGUCAAAGGCUCAACCUUUGAAUGUCAGUGGAUACUGCCGGGCUAGAGUCCGGAAGAGGCGAGUGGAACUCCUGGUGUAGCGGUGGAAUGCGCAGAUAUCAGGAAGAACACCAACGGCGAAGGCAGCUCGCUGGGACGGUACUGACGCUGAGACGCGAAAGCGUGGGUAGCAAACAGG
rnacentral:rRNA from 1 species